rnacentral:lncRNA from 1 species
GUAGGUAACGGUCGUCAGCGCAAGGGUCAUUUCGUCGCUGGGAAGGGACGGCCCUCGCCCGCGGUGAUGGUGGUGAGCUAUGCCCGUGGUCCUCAGGGCCGGGACCCGGGCCCAGCCCAGGCUCCUUUCGAUGUGCUGUCUUUCGUUAGCUUCCCCGACCCGCGCUCGCGGGCCUGUAGGGCUCUCCGACAGGGCGUGCUGCUGGAGUUGGCCUGGAGCCAGUCUUCGCUUUGUUUUCUGGCUCCUCCCCUCCCGCCUCUCCAGCUGUCUCCGGCGUGUUUCAUUUUCCCAAAGAAUGUCAGAACUGGGAGGGAUUCCCUAGCGCCCUUGUUUUACCAGUGAGAAAACUGAGGCCUUUAGGAAUUAAGUGACUUGCCCAAGGUCACUACCCGUGGUUUUAGGGGCCAAGACGAGACGAAGUUUUGCUGUUCUUGGUAUGGUACGGUCUAAACUUUUGCAGUUAUUUUCAAAAUGUUAAGCCCCAACUACAGAAGUAAAGCGUUGCCUAGUUAUUAACCCUCCGUUCACCCGCCUCUUGGCGUAGUUCAACUCUGAAAAUUCUUUAUAGUCUGAGUUUUCAUACAGACAAGACGGGAAAUUACAAAAGUACUCAAGUUAGUGACAUUAAGUAGGAAAACAUUAACUUUAACCUGAUUGUAUCUUAAACUUUUAAGUGGCAAAAAUGCUCUCAUAAGUUAGCCUUGCUUUUUCCCUGCCUACACUGAUUUUGGCAUUGGUUGGCCGUUUUUAUUUAAAAUGGAGAAUUUCUCAAAGACUAAUUUGAAAUUCGUGGUAGGGUAGCAGUUGUAAUUCCCCAUAAAUUGUAAUUGAUGAGUAAAUCACAUUAUCUUAUUUCACUUUUCGUAAUGCUGUCUUUUAUUAGUGUGUAUACUAUAUAUGGCUCUCCCAAAAUUUGAAUGAGUUAGGGUGCAGAAAUGAACAGUAGUCAGUUAUUAAUGUACAGUUAAAUAAGAUGGGACUCCUAGUGUCCAAGUACCUGACUUCACAUUCUGUCUCUGUGCCUCAGUGUUCUCAUCUGUAAAAUGGAAUUGUGUCAUUAGAGCAAGUUUGGGGGGUUAAAUUUGCUCAGUUUUAGGUACAUAAGUUCUUAAUGGUAUUAUGAUAGUGUUAUUCCCUU